CCCUUAGAUGUCCUGGGCCGCGCGCGUGCUACACUGACACUUACACCGAGUUUUUCCGGCCCCGAGAGGUGGCUGGUAAUCAGUAAUAGGUGUCGUGAUGGGGAUAGAUCUUUGGAAUUAUUGAUCUUGAACGAGGAAUGCCUAGUAAUCGUAGGUCAUCAGCCUGCGAUGAUUACGUCCCUGCCCUUUGUACACACCGCCCGUCGCUCCUACCGAUUUCGAGUGGUCCGGUGAACCUUUCGGACAGAGAGAGUCUCGUACAAUCUCUGAAAGUCAAGUAAACCACAUCACUUAGAGGAAGGAGAAGUCGUAACA
rnacentral:rRNA from 1 species